UCUAGGAAGAGUGUGGUCCAGAAAGAGGGCUCCCUGCUUUGGUGCAUUUCAGGACAAAUACACUGACAAAUAACAGAGCGUCUGAGCAAAGGGCAGCAGGUGAUCUGUUCAAAAGCAUGGAUCUUCUUCCUAGUCCCACAAAAAUCCAUGCCUUGCCUCUGAGCCAUGAACUACCUACCAUGGGGGCUUCAGGGGCUGCAAACUGCUUCACUCAUCUCUGAGAGCUGAACCAAGUCUGAUUUUUCACCAUCAGUAUCAUAUUUUCCACCAAGACCAGGAAUGAAAAUUGCUGAAAACAGCUAUCCAUCUUGAAAGGAAGAAAACAUUAUCACCAAGCAUUUUAAAGGAAAAUUCAGAUGGGUUUUCAUAAUGGCUUUGCCAUUCUGUGUCCCAGAUGUUCCUCAGCUUGGGCAGAGGGCCAUUCCAUGAAGGCCCACCUAGGACACCUUUUGGUAACAGCAUCCUCUUAGUAGGGUCUUCCCAGAGGACAGCUUUGCGUGCACAGAGAAGAGAAGAAAAUGCAGAAUACAUCAUGAGUGCUCUUGCACAAGAAGAAGCCUGCCAAAAAUCUAUGGUUCUGGGAAUUCCUGAGCUGAGAGAUGCUUCUGGGUGACCGUGUUUAAUAGCCACUGGAGAACCCAGCUAAAGCUUCUACAUCACCUUAGCAAGAAGUUCCACUGUACAAUAGUGUACACUUUUUACCAAGAUUCAAAGAUUUCUUACUGCUGUCAUUUUAUGUAGGUCACUCAAAAGGUAACACUUCCUAUUUAUUUCCAAAGAAACUACAACAGAUACAAAGAGCGCAGUAGCACUACUUGAUAGAGAAAAUUCUGAGCUACAAAACACUAUUUUUCAACAUAGUUG
ensembl:lncRNA